UACAGAGGGUGCGAGCGUUAAUCGGAAUUACUGGGCGUAAAGCGCACGUAGUCGGCUUUGCAAGUCGGUUGUGAAAUCCCCGGGCUCAACCUGGGAACUGCAUCCGAGACUGCAUUGCUAGAGUAUGGGAGAGGAGAGUGGAAUUCCUGGUGUAGCGGUGAAAUGCGCAGAUAUCAGGAAGAACACCCGUGGCGAAAGCGGCUCUCUGGAACGGUACUGACGCUGAGACGCGAAAGCGUGGGGAGCGAACAGG
rnacentral:rRNA from 1 species